CCAUAUCGACAUUAUUAUGAAUAGAUAAGAUUCAAUGAGUUGUCAUAUGGAAAAUAUGGAAACGUGUCCAUAUUGGGAAUUGAAUAUUGAAAAUCUAUGACUAGAUUAGAAACUUUUAUGCAAAAGGAUGUUCAAAGGAAUGUACUUUGAGUGAGAGACAUCAUAUCUAAGGAAUUGUAUUGUAACAAUCUCCAAUAGAGGACUUUUGUAAUGUCAUUGGCAAUAGACUUUGUGACUUUGGUGCAUUGACAUUACGAAAGGAUCGUUACAUAAUGAUAUGAGUAUAUUUAGUUAUAAAAUUCAUGCAUUAUCUUAAUACUUUAUGUUAAUUUUAUCUCAAAUAAUGAACCAAAGGUGCUUAAUUAGCUUAAAUAUUUCACUUUCAGUAACAAAGACAUGCUCGGAUGGAAAAGGAAGCGGAACUGGUGCUUGGACGCAUGGAUUUGGAUUUUGAAGAAAGAAGGACGUUGAUGGACAGCUUGACCCCUCGUCAGUGUUUUGGCCAUAUCUCAUGAACCGUAACUCCGAUUGACGAGAUUCAAAAUGUUCUGAAAACUAGACACAAUUUCGGACGACUUUCGUGUUUUGAGAAAAUGCUGAUUCCAAACGUACUCGGCGAGUAGGCCAUCAACUCGCCGAGUUGGUCAGAAGUUUCGCGAUUCUGGACGCGCUGACUUGCCGUACACGGGUUUUAAGUGACGGACCUGCCGAGUAGGUCACUGGACUCGCCGAGUAGCCUCUGGUGUGUGAAAAUCUAUAUAAAGGGACUUUCAGAUCGAUACCCUAGCAUGGAGAGAAACCCUAAGAGGCUGAGAAAUGAUUGGAAGUGCUGCUAGGUCGUGAGGAACUGAAGAAUCAACCCUACAUUGAGUUGUGAAGAGAAUCAAGACAAUUUUGGUUUAUUCUUCGUAACUUUUUGAUUUGAAUCAUGUUUACAUACUUUGAUUUCGUUUUUGAGUUUAUGUUUACUGCAAUCAUGAGCUAAAAACUUAUUCUUCUGUUAGGGUAGACAAUUUUGUGAACAUGGAUUGAUUAUUUGAGUAGGAUUAAUUUUAAUUGGUAAUUAUGUUUUGUUAAGCUUGUUAAAGAACCUUAUGUGUUGACAAUAACUAUUCUUCUGUUAAUAAAUUAGUAAUUAAGUUGUAUGAACAUCUCUUAGUUAUUAAUUUCAUAUGAUUUAUUGUGACCACAUAGUUGUAUGUCUAGGAAUAAUGAAUGUGAAACUAGAAUUAACUAGAAGAUAGGUAAGUUAAUGUGUGAGCUUGUUUGAUGAACAUCAGCAAGAGGUUAAUUGAAGGGCCAAUUUAAUUAACCAUUGCAAGUCUUGUUUAACCCGAAUCAAUAACUAGGAAAUCCGUUAAUUUAGACAACUGGCCACUGCUUGAGUUAAUUUGUUUCCUAAGGAUUAGUCAUAUCGAACGUGAAACUAAUCAUCUUAGUUGGUAGCUAAUGAAGAAUUAAUCUGAUACUUUGAAAUCAUCUAUGGCAACAAAUGAGUCGAACCAAAACAGAAGUCCUCUUUAUUAUUGAAUUUAGUUGAUAUUUAUUUGCUUAGUUCUUAGUUUCUUAGUUUAAAUUUUAGUUAAUUGUUUAAGUUUCUAGUCUUGAAAAACUAGAGAAAACCCAUUUUUAUUUAGAUAAUAUUAGCAUUUAUUUUAAUUAUUUACCGUUCCCUAUGUUCCAUACCCUACUUGCUUGAACUAUAUUACUAAUCGAUAGGUACACUGCCUUUCGUGUGUUUAUUUUGUGUUUAAGUUAGUAGGAUUAAAACUAGUUGGUUUUACACACAUCAAGUUUUUGGUGCCGUUGUCGGGGAACGGUUCUAAAAUUAAUUUUAAUUGCUAAUUAUUAUCAUUGUUUCAUUUUUAGUUUAGUUUUUAUUUUUUAUUUAUUAUGUAUUUUCCAAAUCUCGAUGCUUUUGAUGCUUUUCUUGAGGAAAAAGUACAGGAAAUUGAGCAAGAAGAUGAGGAGUAUGGCUCAGAUGAAGAUUUGAAGAAAUUUGAUAGAUGGUUAGAUAACAUCUUGUCUAACGAUCAAGAACAAUGAGUCACAAGAGCUAAAGUUACAAGACGAAGAAUUUAAUCUAGAAAGAGACUUUGAGGAGCUGGAAAGAUUGCUAGCAGAGAGGUCAGACGAAGAACAAGAACAAGCUGAAUUGGAGGAACCAACCCGUGGUAUGACCAUUACUACGACAUGGUCCCCUUUUCUUAUGGUUUGUGUUUCGAAGCGUGGGGUGACGACUCCAACUUUGGAGAAAGUUCUGAGGCACGAUCCAUUUAUGAUUAGUAUCCAACCGGCUGCAACCCUUGUCAAUAUUCUUGGGUUUUCUGAAUUCAAGCUCGUUUGGCCAAUUUUUGAAGCAAAGAGCCAAAUUUUACAAUUUGGUCCAAAGAAAAUAUUAAAUGCAAUGGAUGGAUGGGCAUCAAAUUUAUUAGAAUUUUAUUAAGUUGAGAGUCCAGCUAAAGACUCGCACAAAAAGAAGCGCUUGCGGGAGGCAAGCCGUCAUUAGAGUUUGCUUUUCUUUUUCUUUCUAAACUUCUAGUAUUUAGGGAUAAUUCAGGAUUUUUAUUUUUUUAUUACUUGGUAUUUGUUUUUGAUCUUUUCAGUUUGAGUGUAAGGAUGCAUGCGAGAGUCUAGAGUCAAGGAUAACCUAGGGAAAUAAUCGAGUCUAGGCGAGAGAGAAAAUGAAGUUUUGAGUCUAGUUACGAGUCCGGUGAUGAAAGAGGUUAUUAAGAGCCCAUUUACUAAAGAAAAAAUGGGGAAAGUAUCAAUUUAAUAUUCCCCACACACAUCAGAAUCGGACCUGGAGCAGAAACAUUUUCUUUAUACAACGAUGGACUCGGCGAGUGCACUUACCUACUCGACGAGUCCCAGUAUAAAAACUCGACUUCUGCCAGUAUUACGCUACAACUCGGCGAGCCACCCUACAGACUCGACAAGUUGAUCCUUAUUUCGUCUCUCAAGCUGAUGAUUUGAUACGACAAUUGGCUACACCUUUGAAGAACAUUUUCCGAGCGUUUCCGAGAGUUUUUUUUGUCUACAUUUGGAGCUAUACCACACGAUACUUGACACCCAAGGCAUGGAAGAGCUGUUCCCAUGUCUAAAGUCAUCUGAAGAUGGAGCUCAAAAGAAGAAAGAUCACCCUCACAACUACUAUCCCAGGGGAGUUUGUUCCAAUUCCCUCUUUAUUUUUAUGUUUUCUUAUUCAUGCAUAAUAUGCAACGGGGACAUUGCAUAAAUUAAGCGUGGGGUAGGGGGUUGGUUAUAUUAUUUAAAAUUUUAGUUAAAUUUUAAAAAAUUUGAAAAUUUUGCAUUAAAAUUGCUAGGGCUAAUUUAGAAUAUUUUGGUAAAGCAAUUAGGAUUCUAUGCUAGUGUUACGUUUGAUGAUUGCAUGAAGACCCAAAAGUUUAGUUGAGCCUAUAUACGUUAUAAUGCAUCUGUGGCCCCCUUUAUUCUAGUGAAAUCAUGGGAAAAAAACACAACCUCGCUUAGUUUGAAGGAUGCAAUAUGUUUAGCAUCGUGUACCAGAAAUGUAUCCAGGAAAAUUAUUAUCGUUAACCAAUAAAGGUUGAAGUUGAGCGCCCCUGCUUAAGCAUGUAGGGUUUUGAGUGGAAAAAGUGAGUUACAUGUAAAAUAAAAAAUAAAUAAAUAUAAAAAAAGAGAAUUAUAAGAAAAAGUUUGAAGAAUUUUUAGAGCAUCAAAGUUAAAGUAUGAUGUUCAAAGAUCAAAAAUUUUGAAGAAAUUCAAAAGUUGAAGAUACCAAAAAUCAAACAACAAGGUGGUGAAUUCAAAGAAAUUAAAGAUCAAAUGUCAAAGAAGUGAAGAAUUCCAAAGAGCUCCAAUGAGGUAUCAUAAAUUAUAAUUGUCUAGAUUAUGUACACUUGGGUUGCUCAACAAAAAAUACCUUGAGGUUAGGAGGUUUUCUGCGGAUGUAUUCGGAGGGAUGCAUAAAAUGAGCAUUGUUCGGAAAAAGUGGGCGAAUGUUUAUGAGGAUUGUGAGUAUUUAGAGUAUGGGGGGUUCCUUAGGAAAAUUUUAGACACAAAUGCAUGCGUUGCGGUCUUGGAAUAAUGGCUGGGUUCGAUUGGUAUUGUCUUAUGUAAUAUUAGCGUAGUAAAAUUCCGUUUUGCUUAGGGGCAAGCAAAAGUCAAGUGUGGGGUAUUUUGAUAUGAGUAUAUUUAGUUAUAAAAUUCAUGCAUUAUCUUAAUACUUUAUGUUAAUUUUAUCUCAAAUAAUGAACCAAAGGUGCUUAAUUAGCUUAAAUAUUUCACUUUCNNNNNNNNNNNNNNNNNNNNNNNNNNNNNNNNNNNNNNNNNNNNNNNNNNNNNNNNNNNNNNNNNNNNNNNNNNNNNNNNNNNNNNNNNNNNNNNNNNNNNNNNNNNNNNNNNNNNNNNNNNNNNNNNNNNNNNNNNNNNNNNNNNNNNNNNNNNNNNNNNNNNNNNNNNNNNNNNNNNNNNNNNNNNNNNNNNNNNNNNNNNNNNNNNNNNNNNNUCUCAUUUAAUGAACAAAAGGUGCUUAAUUAGUUUAUAAUUUCAUUUUUCAGCAACAAUUACAUGCUCGGAUGGAAAAGGAAGCGGAACUAGCGAUUGGAGGCUUGGAUCUUGGAUUUUGAAGAAAGAAGGAUGUUGCUGGACAGCUUGACCCCUCGUCAGUGUUUUGGCCAUAUCUCAUGAACCGUAACUCCGAUUGACGAGAUUCAAAAUGUUCUGAAAAGUAGACACAAUUUCGGACGACUUUCGUGUUUUGAGAAAAUGCUGAUUCGAAACGUACUCGGCGAGUAGGGUCGAUUACUCGCCGAGUUGGUCAGAAGUUUCGCGAUUCUGGACGCGCUGACUUGCCGUACACGGGUUUUAAGUGACGGACUCGCCGAGUAGGUCACUGGACUCGCCGAGUAGCCUCUGUUUUGUGAAAAUCUAUAUAAAGGGACUUUC
rnacentral:lncRNA from 1 species